UAAAUGUAGACAAGAAGUUAGAGUAGAGAUUACAUGAUAACCGACUUCGGACAGUUCUAGGAUUGGAGAAGAGGGUAUCCUUAUAGCAUGGGGGAUCCCACAAGGGUGGAUAGGUUUUCCAUGAUAUGGGGAAACCUGGGAGCAAUGUUGAACUUUGUAAAGGUGAUGAAAUCCUACUAACCAUCAAAACUAUUAAGCUCUCUGAUGCAGGAACUCACACCUCGGACUACAAAGGACGAGGACAGACAUGAUGGGUGUGUUUUCUAUUAAGGUACUGCCAAGACCAGAGGUAACCGGACACACUCCUCUACCACCACUGUGUUAAAAAUACCAUUCAGGUAAUUAAUGUUAGAGACUAUUCGGCUAUUGAUCAAUUAGGAACUGAGACUGGUUUUGAUAGUAGGGACAAUUUGUGGCUGUCUUAUAUGAGGUACACAGCUAAAACCCUGAGAGGAAAGGACUGCAUUAUUUGUAGUCAUGCUAGACCUGUUCUGGCUACACACCCAUUUGCUGUAGGAGAAGGAGAGGGGUGGUUGUGUAUUCUGAGAAGUUUUUACCAGGUUAAGCCCAAUUCAACCCUCUGUUCCUCUUUGAGCCUUGUGUUUCCUGCAGUACCUCCUCAUCGGGCCUCUUGGGGUGUUGAGGCAUAUGGGGGCAAUUAAGAGUGCAUCACGGGUACAGGUAAUGGCAUUGAUUAUGGGGGAUUGCCUGAAGCUGAUUGCAGUAGUAACAUAACCAUUAAUUUCACUUGGCCAGUUACAGGCUGAUGUGAGGUGGAUGAGUGGAGCCAAAAGUGCUGAGACCCAUUCUUAGAGGAGAAUGGCAAGGUAUGUGUGCUCUGACCAGUUUGAUAAUUCCACUGACCAUUGUUGAUGUUACUGCUGAACAGCUGUUGGGUUCUGUAUCCAAGGGACCUGAAAACAUUCCAUCCCAUGGGAGACAUAGACGUAGCGCUCCAUGGACAGAGAAUGUAGUUGACAUAAACACUAACCUGUUGGGUGUGCCAGUGGGGGUUCCUCAUGAGUUUCAGGCCUUGGGUAGGAAUGAUGGACUCUGGCACUUACUACCUACUAUGGGUCCAGCCAUGGUGGAUGCUAGACAGACUGCAUGGAUUAAUUAUGUCUACUAUAAUCAACUCCCGUGAUGCACUCACUGGUAUGUCUGAACAGCUUGAGGCCACAUUUGGGGUUUCCAGACAGAAUAGACUUGCCUUGGAUAUGCUUCUUGCCAGUCAGGGGACGUUUGCAAGAUGUUCGGUAAACAAUGUUGCACGUAUAUUCCUAAUAAUACCAGUCCAGAUGAUAUCUAGGGCGGGCUUGAUGCACUAUCUGAUAAGAUGAGGUCCACAGGGGGGGUGGAGGAGUCUGUUCUCUUGGCCUGGUUUGGUAAGUACACUGAUAUGAUGGUUACUGGAUUUCUGACCCUAAUUCUUGUAUUAUUUGUUAUUGAUGUGAUGUGCUGCUUGCAUCAUACCGUGUUCUAAGAAAUAUGUUACAGAUAUGGUGAAGGCUUCAGGCAUGUUGCCUUUGCUUGAUGCUCCAGUUGGAGAUGCCGAUACGGAAGCAUGCUUUCAGGAGAGGAUGGGACUGACUGAGGAUGACCCAUGGUAUGCUGUGGGUGAGGUAGUAGAAUAAUUUUACACCACCACAGUUCCUUGUUAUAAAUUUUUAUGAUAGGUUUUCUUUCCAGUAUGUUUGUUCUCCCUGUUGUAAAGGUUUAGAGUCCCUGGGUGGCAAGGAGCCCACCUGGUACAGGAUAGGAGUAGCUGAGAGGACCAGAUGGUUUCUAAUAAUUCUUUCCUCUGUUUUCCAUGACCAAAGUUUUAUCCUACAUCUUACAUGUCAAUAACAAUAAAGUUUUAUCCUGUUUUUGAUAAGUGACACCCUUGUGGGUGACAAAAGGGGGAAACGCAUAUAACAAUAGACAUAUAUCACUUGUUAUUAAUAAUAAACUUUGUAUUAUUUUCAUGAAAUGCUAUGACUGCUGAAAUAAAGGAUAAUGAGUGUCAAAAGGGGGACUUAAAUUUCACACCCUUGGGGUUAUUUUACAUUAUAGCCAUUACCAUAUAUAUGAUUGAAUAUUAUCUGCUGUUGCCUUGGGUGGAUGUGUGUAUGUGUUAUGUUCUCUAGCUGAUUUGAAACAUUGUUAAAAGUAUCAGGGCCAUGGAACUUUCUCAUGCUGGGAAAAUACAGAAGGGAGGGCACAUUCAGAGCGUGGGGUUGCGAGAACAAGCGGUCUUUUGUUAGAUAACAGGAGCCAGGCGCGAGAUAACGGUAUGGAGCAUGAGACCCAUCUUUCAGCUUAUGUCGUGUCCCAUCUGGGAUGGGAAGAGGGGGCAAUUAUGGUCUUUGUGGGCCAUUUCUGUAUAGACUUACCUAGUUGCUUGGAGUAAUGUAUCUGGACUAUAUCACAUCUCUUAGGAGAUGUGAAGAGAGGGUAUCACAACUUUUUCCUGCUGGAAAAGGUUGGCUUAUGUGGACAAACAUUUUACUUAUAGCUUAGAGCUGUUGUUCUCCGUAAUUGUUAAAUGAGGGUUGUAAGUUCCUAGGUGGCUGGUAGCCAACUUAGUACAUAGUGGGAUUGAGUGGAGAACUUGGUGGUAAUACAUAUACAUCCAUUUCUUUUUAAUGUUGUGCCUUUUUCAUAGCCCCUUUGGGAAAAGUUUUCUUUUGUAUCAGAAUCUAGUUAGGUUGUGUCACGUCUCUGGGGAGACGUGAAGAGAGGGAUUUGUAGAGGACUGCUAAUUCCUAUGUAGGUGACAUUACACUACUAUAGCUGAGACAACGUAUUUUCAUAGUAAAACAGGUCGGGCCCCAUACAGGAUAUUUCUCACACACACACUCACUGUAAUCAUCCAGAACACUGUCACAACAGGAUACUCCUAGCCACAGGUGCUAGCCGGCAGUUCGGCCACAACUCCCCUGAAGAUAGGGACGCACAUACAGUACACACAUAGCUGCCGAGGACACCCAGAUAAGACACCCACAGAUUGGCAGAAAGCCUAGACUUAGUGACUGAAGAUAGCGCACACACCAGAUCUCCUUUUCAGCUGAACAUGGUGUGACGACCAAGAACAGGCAUGGCAGGAUUCUACGAUGACGGACAGACAACAGAGCCAAUGCCGGAUGACUACACCCCAGCCUGAUCCAAUCCGAAGAUCCGAUCUCCUAGAAAUCAACCUACUUUCUGUUCUGUAUAUGAAGCUUGUACCCACUGUUAGCAAGUGCCUUUUUGCUAGUCUCUGAUGAGCUAACAGAGGGGCCCGUAUAUACGCUGUACCAGAUAUCUCCACUCUGAAAUAAACCUGUCGCUUGUCGUACAAUCUAC